UGGGGAAUAUUGGACAAUGGGGGAAACCCUGAUCCAGCGAUGCCGCGUGUGUGAAGAAGGCCUGAGGGUUGUAAAGCACUUUCAGUGGGGAGGAGUAUUGUUAGGUUAAGAGCUAGGCAAUAGGACGUUAUCCACAGAAGAAGCACCGGCUAACUCCGUGCCAGCAGCCGCGGUAAUACGGAGGGUGCGAGCGUUAAUCGGAAUUAUUGGGCGUAAAGGGUGUGUAGGUGGUUUGAUAAGCUAUCUGUGAAAGCCCUGGGCUUAACCUAGGGAUGCCAGAUAAGACUGUGAGACUAGAGUACGGGAGAGGGUAGUGGAAUUUCCGGUGUAGCGGUGAAAUGCGUAGAGAUCGGAAGGAACACCAGUGGCGAAGGCGGCUACCUGGCCUGGUACUGACACUGAGGCACGAAAGCGUGGGGAGCAAACAGGAUUAGAUACCCCUGUAGUCC
rnacentral:rRNA from 1 species